rnacentral:lncRNA from 1 species
CUUCUUUCUUUAUUAUAGAUCAACCUAGUUUCUCACCAACCUAAAACAAUACCACCUCUUCAGCAAGAGGGACGACGUGGGCUGUCAACUACAAGCUUGCCUCUGAUAGAGUGACAGAGACGAAAUGAGAACAUAUGCAUGCUAAUAAUUUUUGUCCUGUAAACAAAAGGACCAAACAGACACAGUCUGUGACCUUGGAGUGCACGUGUUCUAGAGGGAGGAGCCGGCCAGGCAGUCCAAACAGAUACUGAGGGCUUCCAAAGGCCAUGGCACGGUUCUCAGGGCUGAGCUGGCUUCGGCACAGCCUGAUCUAGUGUGGAUCCCGGGGACAAAGGGACAGAAUGGGAACUUAAGUUUUACUGGGCUGGACAGAUACAUUGGAGGUCCCGCGGUACUUUGCGUGCCCUCCCAAAUGCCACGCUGAGAUAUAAAACUGUGGCUGGCUUGUCUUCUACUCAAAGAGAGCGAACGGGGAGUGGGUCCCAAAGAAUCACAGGGUGGGGCGUGCACGGGCCUCUAAAAUGUUGUUCUGAAUGUUGAGUUUUAAAAGCUCUGGAGUUCAGGUACUGCUUUGUGGCCUCUCAUCAUGCUGGUCUUCACACCAUGCAAAUAAAACAGGCACGAGAUUUCCCCCAAAGUUAGCAAUCUCCUGUGAGUCAUUUCGCAGGAACUUGGUGGCAGCCACUUGGCUGAAAGCAGCUGUGAGGAGGAAUGUCCAGGCGGAGUGGCCGCAGCCACGGGUGUGGUUGUGAGUGUGGCUGGAGCCUGGAGACAGGCUGUGGGUGUGGUCACAAACAGGGGCGUGGCAGUGGGUGUGUCCGGGCCGGGGCAUGCUGUGGGCGUGGCUAUCGGGCUCAAGGGGUUAACCCCGGGAGACCCUGCUGGCUGGCCUCAUCUCAGGAACCGCAGGGACUUGAAAAACCGUGCUCUUGGUCCCCCAGAGCAGGUUGAGCUGCCCAAGAAGACACUUUGGGUGAGGGAAGGGACUGCUUUCCAAACUCACUGCUCGCUUCCCUCAUUACUAUCAGACUGUUUUCCAGGUUCACAGCUGCACGUCUCAUUCUCUUCUCAAUCUGCAGCCUCUACUUUCACCUUGUUAGGUCCAUUUGUGAUUGCUCAGGGCAGAGGUGAUGGAGAGAGGCAUCUGCCCUCCUGA